AAAUUGAAGAGUUUGAUCAUGGCUCAGGUUGAACGCUGGCGGCAGGCCUAACACAUGCAAGUCGAACGGUAACAGGAAGCAGCUUGCUGCUUCGCUGACGAGUGGCGGACGGGUGAGUAAUGUCUGGGAAACUGCCUGAUGGAGGGGGAUAACUACUGGAAACGGUGGCUAAUACCGCAUAACGUCGCAAGACCAAAGAGGGGGACCUUCGGGCCUCUUGCCAUCAGAUGUGCCCAGAU
rnacentral:rRNA from 1 species